rnacentral:tRNA from 1 species
AGCCCUUGAGGUAGAUACGCCAAAGUGCAAAUUUGGAGACGCACCCAGAAGGUGCCGGGGCUUC